rnacentral:rRNA from 1 species
UACGUAGGGGGCGAGCGUUGUCCGGAUUUAUUGGGCGUAAAGAGCUCGUAGGCGGUUGGGUAAGUCGGGUGUGAAAACUCAGGGCUCAACUCUGAGACGCCACUCGAUACUGCCCUGACUCGAGUCCGGUAGGGGAGCGUGGAAUUCCCGGUGUAGCGGUGAAAUGCGCAGAUAUCGGGAGGAACACCAGUGGCGAAGGCGGCGAUCUGGGAAGAUACUGACGCUGAGGUGCGAAAGCGUGGGGAGCAAACAGG